rfam:Salmo salar isolate Sally breed double haploid chromosome ssa29, whole genome shotgun sequence.
AGCCGUGUGGCUCAGUUGGUUGAGCAUGGCGCUUGCAAAGCCAAGGUUGUGGGUUUGAUUCCCACGGGGGCCA